CAAAAGCUUGGUCCUGACUUUACCAUCAAUUCUGAUCAAAUUUAUACAUGCAAGUAUCCGCACCCCUGUGAGAAUGCCCUGCAUUUUUCCUACCGAAGAAAAGGAGCGGGAAUUAGGCACACCCCAAAGUAGCCCAUGAUUCCUUGCUUAGCCACACCCCCAAGGGAACUCAGCAGUAAUAAACAUUAAGCCAUGAGUGAAAACUUGACUUAGUUAAGAUCAAGAGGGCCGGUAAAACUCGUGCCAGCCACCGCGGUUAUACGAGAGGCCCAAGUUGAUGGAUGCCGGCGUAAAAUGUGGUUAAUUUACAGUAUUACACUAAAGCGAAACACCUUCUAAGCUGUUAUAUGCUUUCGAAGGCAGGAGCCCCUCUUACGAAAGUAGCUUUAAACGAUAUGACCCCACGAAAGCUAGGGAACAAACUGGGAUUAGAUACCCCACUAUG
rnacentral:rRNA from 1 species